AUUGAACGCUGGCGGCAGGCUUAACACAUGCAAGUCGAGCGGAGCGAGGGUGCUUGCACCUUAGCUUAGCGGCGGACGGGUGAGUAAUGCUUAGGAAUCUGCCUAUUAGUGGGGGACAACAUUCCGAAAGGAAUGCUAAUACCGCAUACGCCCUACGGGGGAAAGCAGGGGAUCUUCGGACCUUGCGCUAAUAGAUGAGCCUAAGUCGGAUUAGCUAGUUGGUGGGGUAAAGGCCUACCAAGGCGACGAUCUGUAGCGGGUCUGAGAGGAUGAUCCGCCACACUGGGACUGGGACACGGCCCAGAAUCCUACGGGAGGCAGCAGUGGGGAAUAUUGGACAAUGGGCGGAAGCCUGAUCCAGCCAUGCCGCGUGUGAAGAAGGCCUUUUGGUUGUAAAGCACUUUAAGCGAGGAGGAGGCUACUUAGAUUAAUACUCUGGGAUAGUGGACGUUACUCGCAGAAUAAGCACCGGCUAACUCUGUGCCAGCCGCCGCGGUAA
rnacentral:rRNA from 1 species